rnacentral:misc_RNA from 1 species
CUGGUUUCUCUUCUGCUACUUCAACUUGCUUUUCCUUGACCUCAAUAUUUCUCACUUUUGCCCCUUCUGCCGUUUCUUCUAUGCAACAUCCAUUAUGCCACGCUGAUGAGAGCUAUAAAUUGAUGCCAUUCAAGGAGAGUGUUACCAUUCGUACAAACGCUUCAUAUGACCCUAUUGCUUAUCCAAAGGUUGAAUCUUGGAAGCUCCGAGAAGGACAUUUUGACUGCUGCUACUGGGGUGGUGUCCACUGUGAUAAGCGCAGUGGUCACGUGAUUGGCCUUGAUCUCAGCAGUAGUUUUCUCUGUGGUUCCAUCCACGAAAUUCCCUCAUCUAUGGGGAAUCUUACAAGGUUGGAAUCUUUAGAUCUUCUCAAACAAUCUCUUAGGAAGGAUUCCUCAG